CCAAUAGCGUAUAUUAAAGUUGUUGCAGUUAAAAAGCUCGUAGUUGAAUUUCGAGACCGGUUUACUGGUCGUGCUUUUGUACGUACUGGUAUUAUUGGUUUCUCCUUUCUGACGAAUCAUAAUGCCAUUAAUUUGGUGUUUUGGGGAAUCAGGACUGUUACUUUGAAAAAAUUAGAGUGUUUAAAGCAGGCUCACGCUUGAAUACAUUAGCAUGGAAUAACGAAAUAGGACGUUUGAUUUUAUUUUGUUGGUUUCUAGGAUCGACGUAAUGAUUAAUAGGGAUAGUUGGGGGCAUUAGUAUUCAAUUGUCAGAGGUGAAAUUCUUGGAUUUAUUGAAGACUAACUACUGCGAAAGCAUUUGCCAAGGAUGUUUUCAUUAAUCAAGAACGAAAGUUAGGGGAUCGAAGACGAUCAGAUACCGUCGUAGUCUUAACCAUAAACUAUGCCGACUAGGGAUCGGAUGAUGUUAAUUUUAUAAUGACUCAUUCGGCGCCUUACG
rnacentral:rRNA from 1 species